AGCAGAUAUGUCAGAGUAGACACUAAGAGGAGCAAUGUGGAGAGCUUAGUGAUGAGACAGUCAUUCUGAUAGUAGGCCAAGAAGAUAGUAGCAGCUAUCAAGCUUCUAUAUGAAGUGCUUUAGAUCGUAGAUAGCGAGUGAUACCCUCAGAUGGACUUCUUAUAUUAUAUGAUGGAGAGGAUAAAGAAACAAAUCAAGAUGGC
rnacentral:lncRNA from 1 species